rnacentral:sRNA from 1 species
AGGUGUCGACAUCAGUCAGCGAGUUUCGCCCACUGAUGCGUUA